rnacentral:rRNA from 1 species
UACGGGGGGGGUAAGCGUUGUUCGGAAUUACUGGGCGUAAAGGGCUCGUAGGCGGCCAACUAAGUCGGACGUGAAAUCCCUCAGCUUAACUGGGGAACUGCGUCCGAUACUGGAUGGCUUGGAUUUGGGAGAGGGAUGCGGAAUUCCAGGUGUAGCGGUGAAAUGCGUAGAUAUCUGGAGGAAUACCGGUGGCGAAGGCGGCAUCCUGGACCGACAUUGACGCUGAUGAGCGAAAGCUAGGGGAGCAAACGGG